CCCCUAGAUGUUCUGGGCCGCACGCGCGCUACACUGAACAGUUCAACAAGUCUUAACCUUGGCCGAUAGGUCUGGGUAAUCUUUGAACGCUGUUCGUGAUUGGGAUAGACCUUUACAAUUAUGGGUCUUCAACGAGGAAUUCCUAGUAAACGCAAGUCAUCAGCUUGCAUUGAUUACGUCCCUGCCCUUUGUACACACCGCCCGUCGCACCUACCGAUUGAAUGGUCCGGUGAAGCCUCCGGAUUGGCGCGCACCUCGGUGCCGCCGAGAAGUUGGCUAAACCUUACCAUUUAGAGGAAGGUGAAGUCGUAACA
rnacentral:rRNA from 1 species